UCAUUGCUCUUCUGCUGUUCAUAUCAUCUUAGUUAUUCACAAAGUCUACUUGAUAAAAUGGCUCAAGGGAAAUACAAGUUUCUUAAGUUUUUAUUCUUCAAAUAGAAGUUUUAAUUUUAAGCAUUCCUUAUGAUAUUUUUUAAGCCUAAAAACCAUUCAAAUUGCUUGACAAAAUUAUUUCAUGGUGAAUUUUAUAAGGUUGAUAGAAGUAAAAGCUAUUUUUCCCAAAACAAACAAAAUACCAUACAUAGUUUUUUGGGUUUGGUUUGUUGAUGUCAUGCCAAUUUCCAAGCACCAACUGGUUACCACAAACAUGGGAAUAUUUAGUGAUAUCUUUGUAGUCAUCGUUAAAAUUCCUGGGAAAAAAAGAAAAAGUUUACGUCAAAGGAAAAUUCACCUCCCACAAGGAAAGUCUGAGAUGUUCAUCCUGACAUUUGCGUUCCUGAUUAUUUGUGGACAUUUCUUCAUUGUGACUGUAGGAAGCUGAGCUUGUUUCUCCUAAUUUGACACUGGGUUGGUGAGCAUUGUCUCAAAUUUUGUGCUUGCCUCAUUUAUGGUCCUGAAGCUUAGCAGAAAAACAGACAAGCUAUUCAGACCAGUUUUCUUUAAGAGCACUUAUGUUGCAGAACAUGAUACAAAUGAUUCACCGUGAGCAGGCACACAGAGUACGGAAAGGUAUUCAACUAUGCAAAGAUAUUGAGGGGAUUUCCAGAGAAAACUUAAAUGUUUUGAAGAUUUGUAGGUAGGGUUUUGAUUGUGUCACAUUCUACACUCAGUGCCAAGUUAGAAUGUCUUUAUGGGGAAGGCAAUAAAGUUACUUGUUGGGUCCUUCCUUCCCUUACAAACAGAAUGUUUUUAUGAAAUCAAAUGGAUCCUCCACUUUGUGUAGUAAGGACCCCCCAGGCCCCACAACAUCAUCACUGUGAGUCCUAUCGCAGAUGUGUGUACCAGCCCAAUUCAGUUUUGCUUUUCUUUUUCCCUAAGAUUUUUACUUCACCAAAUCCCAUUUCAAAUCUUUUUACCUUCAUGUUACCAACAGGAUGUUUAGUUGAAUCAGCAACAAAGACGUGACAACCUAUUGUCCUCCACAAAAGCAUGAGUCAUUUUAUUCAGUGAUCUUUGGUAGUACGAUAAUCAAUGGAAUUUAUGGUGUCGUAGAAAACCAAAAAUCCAUGUUGAAUAUAGUGACUGUCUUAAAUAUACUUAAAUAUGUUAUUCUACAAAACAAUAUCCUUUUACACUAUGGGAUGGAUUCCUUUCUGGAUGCAGGGAUGGGAGGGUCUAUGGGUCAGUGACUGGGACAAAGGAACUGGGAAUCUCUGCACAACUGAGCCCUAAUCCCUGGUCCAUCUCUCCAGCCUCAGAAACUCACCCUCAGCCUCAUUUUCCCCAUAUGCAAAAGAGAGAUAUUUAUUUACCUACCUCAUAGGGGUGUUGUGGAGAUUAGCUAGAUUUGCUAAAGUGCUUGUAGGUUAGAAAGUGCUGUCAUUCCUGAGAACUGGCAUUAACAGAAGAGAGCUGUGUGCAGCACGGAGGAAGUGGAGUCUGAGGAAUACAACAGCAACAACUCACCAAGCAGAGAAUACAAUGGUUCUUCAUCACUAUAUAAAACUAACACUUUUCCUUCAAAGGUCUAUGUAUAAUUUUCUUCAAUGAUUAGCUUUUUAAUGAGACAACUCCUUUCAUCCAGACAUUCAGAUGCUUUAUAUAAGUUGGCAAUUUUCCUGUUAACCAAACUGAAUUUUAUUAAAUGUUUAUUAAAAUGCACCCAGAAAACUUGUCUCCUCCUGAUGCCUGAGGGGUUUGCAUGCCUGAUCCCAAGCUGCAUUUUUUCAGAAUGCGUGCAUGAUGCCCCAGUUCUGUACUCAUGAUCACCAGGUGGCGUUCUGAAAUCCACUACUGGGGAAAGAUUUUUAACAGAUAUUAGUGAGAUUAGAGUUGGUGUCAUUUCCAUUGAGUAUCCUCUUCACCCCUAAGAUGACACAUCUUUACAACACAAUAAAAGAACGUAAAGCCUUAUUUCCACCUGUAACUCCUGAAUUGAUUCAUUUUCACGUUAUAACUACAUUUCAAAUAUUUCGGAGAAGUUUUUACACAGGGCUUCAGCUAUAUACUGAUAUACAUAUGCUUACAUGUGCUUAGGUGGGAAUUCUACUAAAGGAUAAAGGACACAGUGUGAAAACAACAUCAGAGAAUAUCCUGUACAACUUCCCCAAAAGUGACAAGUUUUCUUGUACUUAAAAAUUUAAUCCUGAUAAGAACUAAUGUGAAAUAACAUCAUUUUGGUUUAUAAAUAUUUGUAAUUUUUGAGACAUAGAGGCAAUAUCAUGAUAUAGGAAUACAUUCAUAAAACUAGACUAGCAAAGCAGAUAAUGUUUUCAUGAUAUGGCUUCAUGAGGCAAAGUUGUUGUACAUCAAUAUUAUCAUUGUGCCCUUAUUUAAGGAUUAUAUUCCAUUGUGAAAAAAAUGUGCACACUCUUAAAAACACAAAAUGGGUUUCAGAAAGUUUACCUUGAGAAGUGGGUUUGAAAUCAUCUUGUGCUUGGAGCUGACAUAAGAUACGCACUCAAUAUAAUCUCUUCUGGAUUCUAAAAUCUAAUUGGCAGUGAUAUUUCAAAGCCUUAACAUUUCAAGGUGGUUAAUUAAUAUCUAAUGCAUGGUAUUAAACUUUCUGAAGCAUGAAUUUAACCUAGGCAAUUAUCUGAUUCAUUUUUUUUAAAGUUUGUGCUGCCAAACCAGACUGAAGUAUUGUUUUUCUGGACUAAUACUAUGAGAAUAGUAAGUGAGUCAAAAAAUAAUUGGGACUGUCCUUUUUCCCCUGCCCACUUCCUAGUAUCAAUACUCCCCCAACCAGAAAUGCAGCAGAAUAUCCUUUUUGCUAUAAAGGAAAAUACUGUGUUUUUAUUUGUUUUUGCAGAAGAAAACUGGUGUUGCCUAUUUGGACUAGAUGUAGGGGCCUGGAAGAAGGAAGUGGCAGAUUCACAGGUGGGGUGACCAGGAUGGGAGGAAAAUAGUGGGGCGAGUAUGUCAUGGGGAGAUUUUGCCACAAAGAUACAAAACAGAAUUGAAGUGUGUUAGAGCUGGACAACCCUUUGAAAUGACAGAGUCUAGAUUCUUCACCAAACAGAUGAAAAGACAAGUAGAGACAACAUGUACUUGAGAUAUAAGCUAUACAUCUCAUCACUGGAAGAAAGGAGACUUCAGCCUCUUUUCAAGGCUUUCCAGACCACAUGGAACUCUCCAGAGCCCUCCUUGAAAGUUUUUAGAAAAACUACCAUUUUCAGCAAAGAUUCAUGUGAUUAUGCUGCUGAGGACCAGUCAUUCUGUAAACAUCACAUAUGUGAUGCUUUGUAAAUGUAUUAAUUGUGGUCAAUUUUCAUGGAUAUUUCCCAUUAACAUUGUAUUCCAUGAACAAGUGAUAGAAAACAUAUGGAAAUUCUCUUUUGAUCAAAAGGAGUGUCUCCCAAUUAGUUUACGUGUGUUAGUAUUGCUGACAUAUUAUUAUCAUCACAAAAUUCCUUUUAUAUCUAGAUGGUAUCAAAUAAGAAAAAAAUGCAUCAUUUGGUCAAUUGCUUAUUGAAGAUCCCAGCUGAAGCCUUUCUUUGGUAAAGAGCGCAGAAAGAGACCAUAGCUAUUCUUGGAUGAGAACCUUGCCUCUACUAAAUAGUUUCUGCUUUUCCUCUCUGUAGCCAGACAGCUCAAUAGCCUAGGGAGAGUCGAUGAAGGAUAUGCAAAUUACAUUUUUCCCAUUCUCAGAACAAAGACAGCAACCAAUGAGCCAGAGGUUUCUUCUCUCUUUGAAACCAAAUAGCACGCUGAAUUUAGGGCUAUGACAAAAAUGUUGUUAAAGCAAGAGCAAAAUCAUCCUUCCUAUGGAUUCUUUUCUCAGUGUUUACUUAAUUCUUUUUGCAGUUUGGAUUGGAGUUUCUAGUAAUGAUAAUUAAUGCCAUUUUACAUGAUAGCUUCAAUGCAGAAAUGGUGUGAGCCUGAGUUACAAAUGACAUGACUAGGGAUACAAACUUCGUCUGUACUAACAUCCUACCAAGCAGAUUGGAAACAAAUACUACUACCACUAAUAUUCUGAUGUAAUUAAUAACAUCUAAUAGAAAAAUAGAAACAUCGUGCUUAGCAUGAAACCAUUGCACAAUAUAAACCUGCUCCCAAAUGGCAAGGAUUUUUGCUACCAAUAUUUGUUCUUAAUUCUCCAGUUAUUUUAAGUAAAUAAGUUUCACAUCUAACUACCUCAGCUACUGUUGUUUUAUUUAGAAACAUGAAACCAUGCACUUUGUAAUCAAUAAGUCUUUUGUUUAACAUUUCAAAAGGAUAUUUGGUGCAAAGCAAUUUUCAAAAAUUUGUACAUGAUAUACACCACCCAACCUCAGGAGGUUGUACUUAAUUUUGUUUGUUUGUUUCUAAGGUUGGUUUUGGGUAAAAUCCUCAUUUCCACUCAACAUCAAGAUAAGCUGCUCUAUAUUUGCUUAAUUUGCCUUAAACAUUUUGUGCUCCUUUCCCUGUUCAAUUUUUUUGUUUUGUUUUAAAUCUAUCUCUGAAAAAAAAAUGGAACAGGUGGCAGGUGAACAGCAAAUGGAAGAGAAUGGACCAGUAAUUUCUCAGUCCCCUGUUGUCAACUAUCUGCAUGACAUUCUGAUUGUGCAAAAAUGCCAUUCCUGUGCUUCCCCCUCCAUUACAGAAUAAGGUCCGAGAGACCCCACGAGUGUGCGUAGGGAACGGUGUAGACAUUUCCCCCAGUAUGAGCACAGUGCCUGGACCUGAAUGAUCAUCUUGGCAGUUCUUGUGCUUUUACUUUGUAAACAUUGUACAAAUGUAUUUGGAAUUUUAUUUGAAAUGGAGACUUAAACUAGUUAUUAAAUUUGUUUCCUUCCUGUAAAUAUAUAUAUUCAAAUUCCAUGUAUCCAAACAUCCCUUUAGCGUUCAGAUUGUAAGUGUGUCUUUAUUCGCGGGAGGCCACUGUCAGCAGGCAGUGACCCCCAGUGCCCUAGUUUGAAGCACAGUGUGUGGAGUAUUUGAUGUACUACAGUACCAUAGUUAUUUUGGUCUGUUAAGUAAGUUGCAAUUUGUGAUGAAAUGAAGUGGAAAGUAGUACUUCAUAAUGAACAAAUUUCCUUGGUUACAUGGUUUUUCUUGUAAAACUUAAAGAAAAAAAAAGAAAACUUGAAAUUUUA
rnacentral:lncRNA from 1 species